rnacentral:tRNA from 1 species
GGCCCCAUAGUCUAGUGGCCUAGGACGUCGCCCUCUCACGGCGAAGACACGAGUUCAAAUCUCGUUGGGGCUA